rnacentral:rRNA from 1 species
GACGAACGCUGGCGGCGUGCCUAAUACAUGCAAGUCGAACGCACUCUCGUUUAGAUUGAAGGAGCUUGCUCCUGAUUGAUAAACAUUUGAGUGAGUGGCGGACGGGUGAGUAACACGUGGGUAACCUGCCCUAAAGUGGGGGAUAACAUUUGGAAACAGAUGCUAAUACCGCAUAAAACCUAACACCGCAUGGUGUAGGGUUGAAAGAUGGUUUCGGCUAUCACUUUAGGAUGGACCCGCGGUGCAUUAGUUAGUUGGUGAGGUAAAGGCUCACCAAGACCGUGAUGCAUAGCCGACCUGAGAGGGUAAUCGGCCACACUGGGACUGAGACACGGCCCAGACUCCUACGGGAGGCAGCAGUAGGGAAUCUUCCACAAUGGACGAAAGUCUGAUGGAGCAACGCCGCGUGAGUGAAGAAGGUUUCGGAUCGUAAAACUCUGUUGUUGGAGAAGGAAUGUAUCUGAUAGUAACUGAUCAGGUAGUGACGGUAU